ensembl:miRNA
CAAAAAGUUCGCUAGGGUUUUUCAUACGAUAUUAUGGGAAAACCUGAAUGAACUUUUUU